rnacentral:rRNA from 1 species
AUACGUAUGGGGCAAGCGUUAUCCGGAUUCAUUGGGCGUAAAGGGAGCGUAGGCGGAUUUUUAAGUGAGAUGUGAAAUACUCGGGCUUAACCUGAGUGCUGCAUUUCAAACUGGAAGUCUAGAGUGCAGGAGAGGAGAAGGGAAUUCCUAGUGUAGCGGUGAAAUGCGUAGAGAUUAGGAAGAACACCAGUGGCGAAGGCGCUUCUCUGGACUGUAACUGACGCUGAGGCUCGAAAGCGUGGGGAGC